rnacentral:sRNA from 1 species
AUACACUAGAUUGCUGUUGUCGUGAGCUUGUGUGGUAAUCUCUAUAUUGUAUGGCAUAAUUCUUCUAUGGAUCACUUCCAUUUGUUUGUGCAAUUCCUUCAUUAACUGUAUUAAAAACAAAACCAUUAGUACUGUUGAAGUUUGUAAGCAUUUAGUUUAUAUUCCACAUAUUCUAUAAAAUUCUCAUAGUGUAUGUUAAUCUGAGUUGAGAUGUUUUUCAUUAUGGUGUUCAAAUUCAUUAAAGGAUUGUAAGGUUUAAAGGAGUAUGGUCACGAUUUUGGUUAAUAGGCAACCAAAAUUCGAGUAUCAUUCAUUGAGUUAAAAGAAAGUUAGAGAACAUACAAUUCUUUGCUCUGCAAACAAAGUUUUUGUUUACAUUUUGAAUGUUGAAGUAAAAAUUUCAGUUCUAGACCUAAAAUCAAUGUGUCAAACAUUAGGAACUGUUCAUUUAUGCUUCAAAUGAAUAAAAAGAUAGGCAAAUCAGCUUGAAAAGGAUUUUAUACUGGUAUAUUGAAUCUAUGUAAACAAAAAGAGGGCACAAGCCUUAUUUACAUGACAAAAAUUGUGAUCCCUGUAGCUUGCUUAUAUCUCUACGAAUGACUCUCAAAUUUCAUUUGAUCAUUGGAAAUGCUUUCCUAAAGCAUUGUAAAUAAUAAAAACAGAAAAAGAGAAUUUGACCCAAAUCGUGACCAUGUCCCUUUAACAUAGAACCAAGCAGGUGUGUUACAUAAGUAUCUAUCUUGUAAAACAUAGCUGAUGAAGAUCCUAUAUCUAGUCUUGUAUCUCAUUGUGUCAUCUAUAUGUGUAGAGUUGUAAGCUCAUCACAACUGGUGUAUUUAAAAAACAUUUGAAAUUAGUUUAUGCAGUGCAUGAAUAUUUCUAUAUUUACAGAGUCAUUGUUUAUCUAUCCAUGUCUUAAUUGGCGAAGAGUUAGAAAUUGUCAGUUUAAAAAGGAAGAUUACAAAAUUCAUUUUUCUUGCUUGUCAUGCAGUCUUUCUGUAUUAAUUUGAUAAUAGGUGAUUCUGUGUCAAAAAUUCAAUUUAUUUCAAUCACAGAAUACAAUGUUUUAAAUAUUAGUUCUGGUUUUCCCUGAAUUUUUGUUCUGUUGAAUCGUUCAAUUUUCAUCUGGUUCACAUUUUUGCCAGCUCUAAAAGAUAUCUAAAGUUAGAAAUUACUGGUAUAUUUUCAUGAUUUAUUGUUCAAGAGAAAUGAAGUUGACGUACUUACAAGUAAUCAUCCACUGAACAUUGAAAAUAAUAGAUUGUAUGUUAAUGAUAUACAGGAUUCAGUUUGGGUUGUGAAGCAUGUAAAUAAGGCAAUUAUAACUUAUUACGGCAUUAUACUCAGAGCAUGUGCAGAUACAGAGAGCUCUAAAAUAUCAAAUUUAUUGUAAAGUAAAGUAUUUUGAAAAGUGUAUUCAUUUGGAAUUUUUUUGCAUGUACAUGUAGUACAUUUUCGAUUUUUGUGAAUUUUAUGGUGACAUAAAAUUUGUAGGAAUUAUCAAUAAGGAAAUUAGUUGGCUAAUAUCAAUUCAGUGUAUAAGAUUCCUGAAAAAUUUAGUUUUACGUGAUUGAUUUGUUACAUAAAAUUCACAAAAGUAUACAUGUGCACAUGUGCCACAGUCUUUAUUCCAAAGUAAGACGAGUUAAUGCCCCAGGAUUUCAAGAAUGGGAAUUGUUUUGUUGAUUGUUAAAAUUGUUCAGAUAUUGAAACUAAAUUAACAUGUUUACUGCAUAAUGUCAUGAGAAAAGAGAAGAUAACCAACAAGAACAGUGUGACAUUGUCUAUAAAUGUAGCCAUUGUUUGUACUCUUGCUGUUCAUCCUGUGGAUGUUUGUUUACUUCUAAUGAGUGAGUCCUAGGGUAGAAAAAAACACGUGGAGAUUUCUAGUUGAAAACACAGCUGACAGUGUAUUUACUUCUGUUGCUAUGGUUACUUGUUUCUAGUGUGUAUGACUGUUUUAAAAUGCAUAACUUAUCAUACAUGUACAAGUCAAUAAAAUAAUUAAAUUU